rnacentral:rRNA from 1 species
CUCUUUCUCGAUUCAGUGGAUGGUGGUGCAUGGCCGUUCUUAGUUGGUGGAGUGAUCUGUCUGGUUAAUUCCGAUAACGAACGAGACUCUCCCCUGCUAACUAGUCGGUUGGAUCUUGAUCAGUGGGUUGAGUGCCGAGUAACUCUCGCUGUGCGUGGUGUGCGUCUCGUUCCUCACGGUUCGUUGCGUGCUCAUGUGUGGCGUUGGAUGCCUUGGAUCACACUGCACCCCAAGUCCGCCGCUUUGCUAUAACUCUUCUUAGAGGGAUUCACGGCACUGAAGCCGUAAGAGACUGAGAGCAAUAACAGGUCUGUGAUGCCCUUAGAUGCUCUGGGCCGCACGCGCGCUACAAUGCCGGGCACAGCAGGUGUUUCUCCUGCUCCGACAGGAGCGGGUAACCCUCUGAAAGCCAGUGUUCUUGCAAGUGCUUCCUCCCUCGUGGAGUUGCACAGAGGCGUGCUUGGGCCUGGGACUUGCAAUUCUUUCCCACCAACGAGGAAUGCCUAGUAGCGGCGGGUCACUGAGCCCGCCGUGACUCAGUCCCUGCCCUUUGUACACACCGCCCGUCGCUACUACCGAUUGGGUGUACCAGUGAGAGCCUUGGACUGGCGUCCGUUGUUGCUCGCAAGAGUGACAAGCGGGUCCGACGGAAAGAGGUCCGAACUGGUGCACUUAGAGGAAGUAAA